rnacentral:rRNA from 1 species
AGGUAAGCUACUAAGAGCGAAUGGUGGAUGCCUUGACUGGUAAAGGCGAUGAAGGACGUACUAGACUGCGAUAAGCUACGGGGAGCUGUCAAGAAGCUUUGAUCCGUAGAUUUCCGAAUGGGGCAACCCAAUGUAUAGAGAUAUACAUUACCUAUAUAGGAGCGAACGAGGGGAAUUGAAACAUCUUAGUACUCUCAGGAAAAGAAAUCAAUAGAGAUUGCGUCAGUAGCGGCGAGCGAAAGCGCAAGAGGGCAAACCCAGUGCUUGCACUGGGGGUUGUAGGACUGCAAUGUGCAAGAGGUAAGUUUAGCAGAACAUUCUGGAAAGUAUAACCAUAGAGGGUGAUAGUCCCGUAUGCGAAAAACAAACCUUAGCUAGCAGUAUCCUGAGUAGGGCGGGACACGAGGAAUCCUGUCUGAAUCCGGGUCGACCACGAUCCAACCCUAAAUACUAAUACCAGAUCGAUAGUGCACAAGUACCGUGAGGGAAAGGUGAAAAGAACUGAGGUGAUCAGAGUGAAAUAGAACCUGAAACCAUUUGCUUACAAUCAUUCAGAGCCCUAUGUAGCAAUACAGGGUGAUGGACUGCCUUUUGCAUAAUGAGCCUGCGAGUUGUGGUGUCUGGCAAGGUUAAGCAAACGCGAAGCCGUAGCGAAAGCGAGUCUGAAUAGGGCGCUUAGUCAGAUGCUGCAGACCCGAAACGAAGUGAUCUAUCCAUGAGCAAGUUGAAGCUAGUGUAAGAACUAGUGGAGGACUGAACCCAUAGGCGUUGAAAAGCCCCGGGAUGACUUGUGGAUAGGGGUGAAAGGCCAAUCAAACUUCGUGAUAGCUGGUUCUCUCCGAAAUAUAUUUAGGUAUAGCGUUGUGUCGUAAUAUAAGGGGGUAGAGCACUGAAUGGGCUAGGGCAUACACCAAUGUACCAAACCCUAUCAAACUCCGAAUACCUUAUAUGUAAUCACAGCAGUCAGGCGGCGAGUGAUAAAAUCCGUCGUCAAGAGGGAAACAACCCAGACUACCAGCUAAGGUCCCUAAAUCUUACUUAAGUGGAAAACGAUGUGAAGUUACUUAAACAACCAGGAGGUUGGCUUAGAAGCAGCCAUCCUUUAAAGAAAGCGUAAUAGCUCACUGGUCUAGUGAUUUUGCGCGGAAAAUAUAACGGGGCUAAAGUAAGUACCGAAGCUGUAGACUUAGUUUACUAAGUGGUAGGAGAGCGUUCUAUUUGCGUCGAAGGUAUACCGGUAAGGAGUGCUGGAGCGAAUAGAAGUGAGCAUGCAGGCAUGAGUAGCGAUAAUUAAUGUGAGAAUCAUUAACGCCGUAAACCCAAGGUUUCCUACGCGAUGCUCGUCAUCGUAGGGUUAGUCGGGUCCUAAGUCGAGU